AUCGAACCCAAGUUAAUUGCUUUUCCGAAAAGUCAUUGAAGCAUGACCAAGACUGUAGGCUUAGUCAUUCGGAACAAUUGAUUAAAAUAUUUAAACAAAAGUCUACUUCUUUAUUUUGCAAGCGAGAAGUGGACCGGUCGUUGUGAGCUGCAAUCCAAUGAGCGGCGGUAAAGGUGUUAAUUACCUAUUUUUUGUUAGAGAUGAAACAAUUUCAAAUGAUUAAAAACAUGGACAAAAUGUUAUUUCAUUUAAGGAAAAAUUGAACAUUGAAUUUAUAAUAG